UUGAGUUGAGAUUUUCAGUCUACAACACACGCGAUUCGCACUUGUGCGCGGCGUUUGGUCGUGGGCAGAUUAAUUUUAGAGGAUUUCUCUCUUCUCCCCCCUCGACUCGACUCGACUCUUCCCUUCACCGUGGGUCGAGUUGUGUGAAAAUCUCGUGAUCGUCGUCGAUUUCGCUAGUGGUGCUGCUGCCGUGGGUUUUAAAACUGUGCUGUGGUCGGUGUGACACCGGAAAAUGAGCGGAAUGUUACGUCUACCGUCGCUGCUGGCCAAGAGCGCCCUGUCCGCGACUCGUGGCCUGGCGGCGCCUUCCGCCCAGCGAGGAGUGCAUUUCACCGUGGGCCAGAACAACGCCAAGUCGAACGCGGACGCCAUCUCGAAGGAGUACCCGGUGGUGGACCACACGUACGAUGCCGUCGUGGUCGGUGCCGGUGGAGCGGGUCUCCGGGCUGCGUUCGGUCUGGUGGCCGAGGGCUUCAAGACGGCCGUCAUCACGAAGCUGUUCCCGACGCGUUCGCACACCGUUGCGGCCCAGGGCGGAAUCAACGCCGCGCUCGGCAACAUGGAGGAGGACGACUGGAAGUGGCACAUGUACGACACGGUGAAGGGAUCCGAUUGGCUUGGAGAUCAGGAUGCGAUUCACUAUAUGACGAGGGAGGCACCGAAGGCCGUCAUUGAGUUGGAGAACUAUGGCAUGCCGUUUUCGCGUACUCCGGACGGCAAGAUCUACCAGCGUGCAUUUGGUGGUCAGAGUUUGAAGUUUGGCAAGGGUGGUCAGGCGCAUCGAUGCUGUUGCGUUGCGGAUCGUACCGGCCAUUCGCUGCUGCACACGCUGUACGGCCAGUCGCUGAGCUACGAUUGCAACUACUUUAUCGAGUACUUUGCGAUGGAUCUGCUGAUGGAGAAUGGCCAGUGCGUGGGUGUGAUUGCGCUGAACCUGGAGGACGGUAGCAUUCAUCGCUUCCGGUCGAAGAACACCGUGCUGGCUACGGGAGGUUACGGUCGUGCGUACUUCUCGUGCACAUCGGCGCACACCUGUACCGGAGACGGAACUGCGAUGGUUGCCCGUGCUGGAUUGCCCUCGGAGGACUUGGAGUUUGUGCAGUUCCACCCGACGGGUAUUUACGGUGCCGGUUGUCUGAUCACCGAGGGAUGCCGAGGAGAGGGUGGUUACCUGAUCAACUCUCAGGGUGAACGCUUCAUGGAGCGAUAUGCACCGGUGGCGAAGGAUUUGGCCUCCCGUGACGUCGUGUCCCGUUCGAUGACCAUCGAAAUCCGCGAGGGUCGCGGUUGUGGCCCUGAGAAGGAUCACGUUUACCUGCAGCUGCACCAUCUGCCCCCAGAGCAGCUGGCCCAGCGUCUGCCCGGAAUUUCCGAAACCGCUAUGAUCUUUGCCGGCGUUGAUGUGACCCGCGAACCUAUUCCAGUACUGCCAACUGUCCAUUAUAACAUGGGCGGCGUUCCAACUAACUACAAGGGCCAGGUGCUGACCGUCGACGCCAGCGGCAACGACCAUGUCGUGCCCGGACUGUACGCCUGCGGAGAAUCCGCCUGCUCGUCGGUUCACGGUGCUAACCGCCUCGGAGCCAACUCGCUGCUGGAUUUGGUCGUGUUUGGCCGUGCCUGCGCCAAGACCAUUGCUGCCGAACAUCGCCCGGGUGAGAAAAUCGCCGACAUCAAGUCGAACGCCGGCGAAGAGUCCGUCGCGAAUCUGGACUGGGUGCGCAAUGCAAACGGUGCCAUUCCUACCUCAGAGCUGCGACUCAACAUGCAAAAGACUAUGCAGACGCAUGCGGCCGUGUUCCGUGAGGAGAAGACCCUGCAGGAGGGCGUCCGCAAAAUGGGCGAAAUCUACAAGACGAUCAAGGACGUCAAGGUGUCGGAUCGGUCGCUGGUGUGGAACUCGGACCUGGUCGAAACGCUGGAGCUGCAGAAUCUGCUGCUGAACGCCAACAUGACCAUCACCGCCGCCGAAAACCGAAAGGAGUCACGUGGUGCCCAUGCGCGCGAAGACUACAAGACCCGCGUCGACGAAUACGACUACAGCAAGCCCCUGGAGGGCCAGCAGAAGAAGCCCGUUGAGGAGCACUGGCGCAAGCACACCCUCACCUGGAUCGACCCGGCCACCGGCGCCGUCAAGAUCGAUUACCGCCCGGUCAUCGACCAAACCCUCAGCGAGGAGUGCAACACCGUUCCGCCGGCGAUCCGUUCGUACUAAGCGGCGCUUCUCUUCAUCCGUUUGCUUCAUUACAACUCAAGCCCAAGCUGCAUCACAACGGGUGUGAUCGUGACUGGUUCGCACAGCGAGAGAGAGAGAGAACGUAGAAACCGGCAAAGUGAUAGAGUAUUACUUCUAAACUGUCCAACCAACCAAUCACAACGAUAGCGCGCGCAUCAAAAGCCUCGAACAGCAGCGUACUCUUCAUUGCAAACAUCAGCCUCAACAUCGCUUCGUAGUACCCAGGGAUAACAAUAGUUACGAACAAGCUACACCAACACCAGCUGUGUUUAAAAAAAACGAACGAAUUCGAAAUUGUGCUUAAAUUAAAGUAGAAUGGAACAUGAGAGGAAAAAGUGGACAUUGCGUGUGUUUUGAUGAAAAUUAUUUAUUGUAACACUAGACAGACGGUCGUACUUGUACGAACCAGUAGUGAGAAAGAAAUGAAAAAAAAACUUCAAACUAAUCGUAGCUUAGUUUUGAUUUUUGGAUUUGACUGAAUCCGGUACUUAUUCAUGGUUUGGAUUAAAAGUUGAUGCUGAAGUGUUUCCGCGAAGUUAUUGUGUAUUCCUGGCUACGUACGCACCUUUUGACCUUUUUUUCUGUUCCUUGAUAGAUCUUUCCGUUUACAAUUAGGUUGGAAGGCAACAACAACUACUACAACAAAUAAACACUAACGUACACAAAUAAAACGUUAUUUAUUGUAA